UACGAAGGGUGCAAGCGUUAAUCGGAAUUACUGGGCGUAAAGGGUGCGUAGGCGGUUCGUUAAGUCUGUUGUGAAAUCCCCGGGCUCAACCUGGGAAUGGCAAUGGAUACUGGCGGGCUAGAGUGUGUCAGAGGAUGGUGGAAUUCCCGGUGUAGCGGUGAAAUGCGUAGAGAUCUGGAGGAAUACCGGUGGCGAAGGCGGCCCCCUGGACAAAGACUGACGCUCAGGUGCGAAAGCGUGGGGAGCAAACAGG
rnacentral:rRNA from 1 species